rnacentral:antisense_RNA from 2 species
UGUAGGAGUGAGCCUGCUCGCGAUAGCGGUGUGUCAGUCGACCAAUUGGUAACUGACAGUCCGCUAUCGCGAGCAGGCUCACUCCUACA